rnacentral:rRNA from 1 species
AUGACCUCGGAUCAGGUAGGGAUACCCGCUGAACUUAAGCAUAUCAAUAAGCGGAGGAAAAGAAACCAACAGGGAUUACCUCAGUAACGGCGAGUGAAGCGGUAACAGCUCAAAUUUGAAAUCUGGCUCCUCGGGGCCCGAAUUGUAAUUUGUAGAAGAUGCUUUGGGUCUGGGCCUGGCCUAAGUUCCUUGGAACAGGACGUCGUAGAGGGUGAGAAUCCCGUAUGCGGCUGGCGCCCGUGCCCGUGUAAAGCUCUUUCAACGAGUCGAGUUGUUUGGGAAUGCAGCUCUAAAUGGGUGGUAAAUUUCAUCUAAAGCUAAAUAUUGGCCAGAGACCGAUAGCGCACAAGUAGAGUGAUCGAAAGAUGAAAAGCACUUUGGAAAGAGAGUUAAACAGUACGUGAAAUUGUUGAAAGGGAAGCGCUGGCAACCAGACUUGGGCGCUGUUGAUCCGCUAGGGUUCUCUCUAGGGCACUCGGCAGUGCGCAGGCCAGCAUCGGUUUGGGGGGUUGGAGAAUGGCUGGUGGAAUGUGGCUGUCUUUGGGCAGUGUUAUAGCCACCGGUGGCAUGCAGCCUCCCCGGACCGAGGACCGCGCUUCGGCUAGGAUGCUGGCGUAAUGGUUGUCAGCGACCCGUCUUGAAACACGGACCAAGGAGUCUAACAUCUAUGCGAGUGUUUGGGUGUUAAACCCAUACGCGGAAUGAAAGUGAACGUAGGUGAGAACCCGCAAGGGUGCAUCAUCGACCGAUCCUGAUGUCUUCGGAUGGAUUUGAGU